CGGCGGAAGCUCAACUGCAAGUCUAGGGGGCGUAGCAAUACGUCACCGGCGGGCGGGUGCGUAACACGUGGGAAUGUACCUACUGGUUCGGAACAACGCAGGGAAACUUGCGCUAAUACCGAAUGUGCCCGAAAGGGGAAAGAUUUAUCGCCAGUAGAUCAGCCCGCGUAGGAUUAGCUAGUUGGUAGGGUAAUGGCCUACCAAGGCGACGAUCCUUAGCUGUUCUGAGAGGAAGAUCAGCCACACUGGGACUGAGACACGGCCCAGACUCCUACGGGAGGCAGCAGUUGGGAAUCUUGGACAAUGGGGGAAACCCUGAUCCAGCCAUGCCGCGUGAGUGAUGAAGGCCUUAGGGUUGUAAAGCUCUUUUACCCGGGAAGAUAAUGACUGUACCGGGAGAAUAAGCUCCGGCUAACUUCGUGCCAGCAGCCGCGGUAAUACGAAGGGGGCUAGCGUUGUUCGGAAUUACUGGGCGUAAAGCGUGCGCAGGCGGUCUCUCAAGUCAGGGGUGAAAGCCCAGAGCUCAACUCUGGAACUGCCCUUGAAACUGUGAGGCUCGAGUGCGGGAGAGGUGAGUGGAAUUCCCAGUGUAGAGGUGAAAUUCGUAGAUAUUGGGAAGAACACCGGUGGCGAAGGCGGCUCACUGGCCCGUUUCUGACGCUCAUGCACGAUAGCGUGGGGAUCAAACAGGAUUAGAUACCCUGGUAGUCCACGCCGUAAACUAUGGACGCUAGCCGUUGGGUAGCUUGCUAUUCAGUGGCGCAGC
rnacentral:rRNA from 1 species